ACAAAUGACCAUUUUCAGUUUCUUGGCAGUACAGAAGUGGAACAGCCAAAAGGAACAGAAGUUGUGAGAGAUGCUGUAAGGAAACUAAAGUUUGCAAGACAUAUCAAGAAAUCUGAAGGCCAGAAAAUUCCUAAAGUGGAGUUGCAAAUAUCAAUUUAUGGAGUAAAAAUUCUAGAACCCAAAACAAAGGAAGUUCAACACAAUUGCCAGCUUCAUAGAAUAUCUUUUUGUGCAGAUGAUAAAACUGACAAGAGGAUAUUCACUUUCAUAUGCAAAGAUUCUGAGUCAAAUAAACAUUUGUGCUAUGUAUUUGACAGCGAAAAGUGUGCUGAAGAGAUCACUUUAACAAUUGGCCAAGCAUUUGACCUGGCAUACAGGAAAUUUCUAGAAUCAGGAGGAAAAGAUGUUGAAACAAGAAAACAGAUCGCAGGGUUACAAAAAAGAAUCCAAGACUUAGAAACAGAAAAUAUGGAACUUAAAAAUAAAGUACAAGAUUUGGAAAACCAACUGAGAAUAACUCAAGUAUCAACACCUCCAGCAGGCAGUAUGACACCUAAGUCGCCCUCCACUGACAUCUUUGAU
rnacentral:sRNA from 1 species